rnacentral:lncRNA from 1 species
UUUUGUAAAUAUACCGGAAUAUGUGUAUCCAGAGGCUGUUGUCCCUCCAGUCCAGCAGCCCCUGGGGACAGGCACAGCCACAGCUCGUCUUCUGGAAUUGCCUUCAGAAUGUGCCGCAUAGUCCUUUAGGUUUCAAUAGUGGUGACAGCUGUCCCUAAAAAAUGGCUCCAAUGUUUAAUAACAGCCAAAAUCCACUACGGUGUGUGGGAGGAAGAUGCAGCCAGGUUAUAGACUUUUUUCUUAAAAACAAGAACUCACUACAAAGUAAAUGAAAUUAUUUUUCUGAUACAUCUAAAAGCCAGUUCUAGGGGAAGUUCUAAAAGAAGCGUUCAGAAAUUGGAACAAGAGCAGUAUUAUUAGAGGACAGUAUGCAUUUGGGGUUUGAAUUGUUGUUUAGACCUGUUUAUACCUGGUCUGUGAGUUCUGAAACCCAACUUGCUUGGGUGAAGUGAGCCACUGAAGCCUGUGUUUUGGAUGGGAAGGCUAUGGCAGAGGGGC